rnacentral:lncRNA from 1 species
GAAGGACGGAUAGAAACUUUGGCAUAGGAACCCUGCCAACCCGGAGAAUUCAGAAUAAAGAAACCCUGAAGGCAGCUCAUCCGCCCCGAAGCCAUCGCCGCCCAAUUCCCGCCGCCUAACUCAUUCCGAUACCACAAGUGGUCAAUCCCUUCAACCUUGAAUUGGCAAACAGGUUUGCGUAUCUCUAUUGUUUAUACUUUCAAUUGGCCAUAUCUACACAUAUAAUGCAUCAUGAUUAAAUGUUG